UAUUGCACAAUGGGGGACACCCUGAUGCAGCGACGCCCCGUGAGCGAAGCAGUAUUUCGGUAUGUAAAGCUCUAUCAGCAGGGAAGAAAAUGACGGUACCUGACUAAGAAGCACCGGCUCAAUACGUGCCAGCAGCCGCGGUAAUACGUAUGGUGCAAGCGUCAUCCGGAUUUACUGGGUGUAAAGGGAGCGUAGACGGUUGUGUAAGUCUGAUGUGAGAGCCAGGGGCUCAACCCCGGGACUGCAUUGGAAACUAUGUAACUAGAGUGUCGGAGAGGUAAGCGGAAUUCCUAGUGUAGCGGUGAAAUGCGUAGAUAUUAGGAGGAACACCAGUGGCGAAGGCGGCUUACUGGACGAUCACUGACGUUGAGGCUCGAAAGCGUGGGGAGCAAACAGGA
rnacentral:rRNA from 1 species